GCAUAAAGCUUUAGAGUAAAUUACAAUAACAUGAAGGUUAUAUCUUUUAAUGUCUUUGGGGUUUGCAGUUCAGAUAAAUUGAACAAAACUGCUAAGUAGAAGCUGUAUAAAAUUCAAGAUAAUAAUUUAUACUAGUAUGUGCUUUGGGUUUUGCAACAUACACAUUUUGAAUAAGUGCUAAGUAGAUGGCUUGAUUAAGUUCAAGAUUAUGAGACAUAUGGCUCAGGUUUGCAACAGAUAAAUUGAGAUACAAAAACCUGCUUUUUCGUUUUUGGAUUUUGCAAAAGAUAAUUUAGAAACAGCAGGUAAUUUUUUGAACAACUGUUAAGUGGGAGGCAGUAUUUAGUUCAAGAUUAUAAUAACCAUAUACUUCUUUUUGUCUAUUUCAUUGCUGAAGUAUGAUUAGUAUUGAAUUAACAAAGGGGCUGCUAAUAUAUUCAUUUUUUUUUCAAUUUAAAGGCAGUAAAUCCUACAAGUGUGAUAGUUGGCCAUGUUGACUUGCUUGUAGAUCUUCUUUUUCUGACCUUUUUGGUUUUUAAUUUUCUUUUGGACUCCAAUAACCAUGGACAAAAAAUCAAAAUAAAUAUUGGAUAAAAAUCAUCAAUAAAGGAAAUUAACUUAUAUAUAAUAAUGAGUCUGUUAGUAGUUUCAGCCAUGGUGGCAGAUUUGUAGCUCUU
rnacentral:lncRNA from 1 species